UACAGAGGUCUCAAGCGUUGUUCGGAUUCAUUGGGCGUAAAGGGUGCGUAGGCGGCGCGGUAAGUCGGGUGUGAAAUCUCGGAGCUUAACUCCGAAACUGCAUUUGAUACUGGCGUGCUUGAGGACUGGAGAGGAGACUGGAAUUCAUGGUGUAGCAGUGAAAUGCGUAGAGAUCAUGAGGAAGACCAGUGGCGAAGGCGGGUCUCUGGACAGUUCCUGACACUGAGACACGAAGGCCAGGGGAGCAAACGGG
rnacentral:rRNA from 1 species